rnacentral:rRNA from 1 species
CCUACGGGUGGCAGCAGUAGGGAAUAUUGCUCAAUGGGGGAAACCCUGAAGCAGCAACGUCGCGUGGAGGAUGAAGGUUUUCCGAUUGUAAACCCCUUUUUUUAGAGAAGAUAAUGACGGUAUCUAACGAAUAAGCACCGGCUAACUCCGUGCCAGCAGCCGCGGUAAAACGGAGGGUGCAAGCGUUACUCGGAAUCACUGGGCGUUAAGAGCGCGCAGGCGGGAUAGCAAGUCAGUUGUGAAAUCCUCUGGAGUAAACCUAGCACUGCAGUUGAAACUGUUAGUCUAGAGUAUGGGAGAGGCAGGUGGAAUUCUUGGUGUAGGGGUAAAAUCCGUAGAGAUCAAGAGGAAUACUCAUUGCGAAGGCGACCUGCUAGAACAUAACUGACGCUGAUGCGCGAAAGCGCGGGGAGCAAACAGGAUUAGAUACCCCUGUAGUC